GAUGAACGCUGGCGGCGUGCCUAAUACAUGCAAGUCGAGCGAAUGGAUUAAGAGCUUGCUCUUAUGAAGUUAGCGGCGGACGGGUGAGUAACACGUGGGUAACCUGCCCAUAAGACUGGGAUAACUCCGGGAAACCGGGGCUAAUACCGGAUAACAUUUUGAACCGCAUGGUUCGAAAUUGAAAGGCGGCUUCGGCUGUCACUUAUGGAUGGACCCGCGUCGCAUUAGCUAGUUGGUGAGGUAACGGCUCACCAAGGCAACGAUGCGUAGCCGAACUGAGGGGGUGAUCGGCCAAACUGGGACUGAGACACGGCCCAGACUCCUACGGGAGGCAGCAGUAGGGAAUCUUCCGCAAUGGACGAAAGUCUGACGGAGCAACGCCGCGUGAGUGAUGAAGGCUUUCGGGUCGUAAAACUCUGUUGUUAGGGAAGAACAAGUGCUAGUUGAAUAAGCUGGCACCUUGACGGUACCUAACCAGAAAGCCACGGCUAACUACGUGCCAGCCGCCGCCGUAA
rnacentral:rRNA from 1 species